rnacentral:rRNA from 1 species
UCAGACGAUGCGUCAUGCAUAUCAAUAAGCGGAGGAAAAGAAACUAACAAGGAUUCCCCUAGUAACGGCGAGUGAAGCGGGAAGAGCUCAAAUUUGAAAUCUUAAAGGGUUUCCCUUUACGAAUUGUAGUUUAAAGAAGUGUUUUCUGUUGAGGUUUUGGUAAAAGUUCUUUGGAAUAGGACAUCAUAGAGGGUGAGAAUCCCGUAUUUGACCUUUACUUUCAACUUUGUGAUACACUUUCAAAGAGUCGGAUUGUUUGGGAAUGCAGUCCAAAAUGGGUGGUAAAUUUCAUCUAAAGCUAAAUAUUGGCGAGAGACCGAUAGCGAACAGGUACCGUGAGGGAAAGAUGAAAAGAACUUUGAAAAGAGAGUUAAACAGUACGUGAAAUUGUCAAAAGGGAAGCGUUUGACACCAGUGUUGUUUUUCUGAAAAUCAAUUAAAGAACUGUUUAUGCUAAGUUGUUUAGACUUUAUCAGCUAACUGUUUAGUUUUGAGCUUUUCUUUAAUGCACUUUUCAGUUAACAAGUCAACAUCAAUUUCUUUUGCUGUAAAAAAGCUUGAGGAAGGUGGCUUGAGAUUCGUCUUAAGUGUUUAUAGCCUCUUGCCUAUGCAGUCGGAGAGAUUGAGGUCUGCAGCGUAGAUCCUUCGGGGCUAAAUGCAUUUGUGCUAAGUUAUAGCAUUUUAUAGACAACUUGUUGACUAUGAUUUGUCUUGUAGCUUACUCGCUUAUGUUAUUUUACCUACGCUUAGGAUGUUGAAUCUGUGCGAGACUAC